UGUCUGGGAAACUGCCUGAUGGAGGGGGAUAACUACUGGAAACGGUAGCUAAUACCGCAUAACGUCGCAAGACCAAAGAGGGGGACCUUCGGGCCUCUUGCCAUCGGAUGUGCCCAGAUGGGAUUAGCUAGUAGGUGGGGUAACGGCUCACCUAGGCGACGAUCCCUAGCUGGUCUGAGAGGAUGACCAGCCACACUGGAACUGAGACACGGUCCAGACUCCUACGGGAGGCAGCAGUGGGGAAUAUUGCACAAUGGGCGCAAGCCUGAUGCAGCCAUGCCGCGUGUAUGAAGAAGGCCUUCGGGUUGUAAAGUACUUUCAGCGGGGAGGAAGGGAGUAAAGUUAAUACCUUUGCUCAUUGACGUUACCCGCAGAAGAAGCACCGGCUAACUCCGUGCCAGCAGCCGCGGUAAUACGGAGGGUGCAAGCGUUAAUCGGAAUUACUGGGCGUAAAGCGCACGCAGGCGGUUUGUUAAGUCAGAUGUGAAAUCCCCGGGCUCAACCUGGGAACUGCAUCUGAUACUGGCAAGCUUGAGUCUCGUAGAGGGGGGUAGAAUUCCAGGUGUAGCGGUGAAAUGCGUAGAGAUCUGGAGGAAUACCGGUGGCGAAGGCGGCCCCCUGGACGAAGAUUGACGCUCAGGUGCGAAAGCGUGGGGAGCAAACAGGAUUAGAUACCCUGGUAGUCCACGCCGUAAACGAUGUCAACUUGGAGGUUGUGCCCUUGAGGCGUGGCUUCCGGAGCUAACGCGUUAAGUCGACCGCCUGGGGAGUACGGCCGCAAGGUUAAAACUCAAAUGAAUUGACGGGGGCCCGCACAAGCGGUGGAGCAUGUGGUUUAAUUCGAUGCAACGCGAAGAACCUUACCUGGUCUUGACAUCCACGGAAGUUUUCAGAGAUGAGAAUGUGCCUUCGGGAACCGUGAGACAGGUGCUGCAUGGCUGUCGUCAGCUCGUGUUGUGAAAUGUUGGGUUAAGUCCCGCAACGAGCGCAACCCUUAUCCUUUGUUGCCAGCGGUCCGGCCGGGAACUCAAAGGAGACUGCCAGUGAUAAACUGGAGGAAGGUGGGGGUGACGUCAAGUCAUCAUGGCCCUUACGACCAGGGCUACACACGUGCUACAAUGGCGCAUACAAAGAGAAGCGACCUCGCGAGAGCAAGCGGACCUCAUAAAGUGCGUCGUAGUCCGGAUUGGAGUCUGCAACUCGACUCCAUGAAGUCGGAAUCGCUAGUAAUCGUGGAUCAGAAUGCCACGGUGAAUACGUUCCCGGGCCUUGUACACACCGCCCGUCACACCAUGGGAGUGGGUUGCAAAAGAAGUAGGUAGCUUAACCUUCGGGAGGGCGCUUACCACUUUGUGAUUCAUGACUGGGGUGAAGUCGAAACAAGGUA
rnacentral:rRNA from 1 species